rnacentral:miRNA from 1 species
AUGGCACUGGUAGAAUUCA